rnacentral:rRNA from 1 species
UACGUAGGGUGCAAGCGUUGUCCGGAAUUAUUGGGCGUAAAGGGCUCGUAGGCGGUCCGUCACGUCGGGAGUGAAAUCCCGGGGCUUAACCCCAGAACUGCUUCCGAUACGGGCAGACUAGAGGUAGGUAGGGGAGAAUGGAAUUCCUGGUGUAGCGGUGGAAUGCGCAGAUAUCAGGAGGAACACCAGUGGCGAAGGCGGUUCUCUGGGCCUUACCUGACGCUGAGGAGCGAAAGCGUGGGGAGCAAACAGG